rnacentral:rRNA from 1 species
UACGAAGGGGGCUAGCGUUGCUCGGAAUGACUGGGCGUAAAGGGCGCGUAGGCGGAUGUUACAGUCAGGCGUGAAAUUCCUGGGCUCAACCUGGGGGGCUGCGUUUGAUACGUGAUGUCUGGAGUUCGGAAGAGGGUCGUGGAAUUCCCAGUGUAGAGGUGAAAUUCGUAGAUAGUUGGGAAGAACACCGGUGGCGAAGGCGGCGACCUGGUCCUGGACUGACGCUGAGGCGCGAAAGCGUGGGGAGCAAACAGGA